rnacentral:rRNA from 1 species
UUUUGACCGUGCAAAGGUAGCGCAAUCACUUGUCUUUUAAAUAGAGACCUGUAUGAAUGGCUAAACGAGGGCUUAACUGUCUCCCAUUUCCAGUCAGUGAAAUUGAUCUGCCCGUGCAGAAGCGGGCAUAAUAUUACAAGACGAGAAGACCCUUUGGAGCUUAAGGUACAAAGUUCAACCAUGUUAAGCAACUCAUCAAAAAGUGUAAACUUUGUGGAACAUGAAAUUUUACCUUCGGUUGGGGCGACCACGGAGAAAAAACAAGCCUCCAAGUGGAUAGGGAUAAUACUCCUAAAACCAAGAGAAACACCUCUAAGCCACAGAAUAUCUGACCAAAUAUGAUCCAGCCAUAAGGCCGAUCAACGAACCAAGUUACCCUAGGGAUAACAGCGCAAUCCUCUCCCAGAGUCCAUAUCGACGAAGGG